CAUGUACUCCCUCCGUUCCAAAAUAAGUGACUCAAAAGUGACUCAACUUUGUACUAAUGUUAAUGCAAAGUUGAGUCAUUUUUGAGUCACUUAUUUUUGGGACGGAGGGAGUACUAU
rnacentral:pre_miRNA from 1 species